AAGAGGUUCUAUUCAUGUUACUGUGUGUUAACAUGAGGUUCUAUUCAUGUUACUGUGUGUUAACGUGAGGAAGAGGUUCUAUUCAUGUUACUGUGUGUUAACGUGAGGAAGAGGUUCUAUUCAUGUUACUGUGUGUUAACGUGAGGAAGAGGUUCUAUUCAUGUUCCUGUGUGUUAACGUGAGGAAGAGGUUCUAUUCAUGUUACUGUGUGUUAACAUGAGGUUCUAUUCAUGUUACUGUGUGUUAACGUGAGGAAGAGGUUCUAUUCAUGUUACUGUGUGUUAACAUGAGGAAGAGGUUCUAUUCAUGUUACUGUGUGUUAACGUGAGGAAGAGGUUCUAUUCAUGUUACUGUGUGUUAACAUGAGGUUCUAUUCAUGUUACUGUGUGUUAACGUGAGGAAGAGGUUCUAUUCAUGUUACUGUGUGUUAACAUGAGGAAGAGGUUCUAUUCAUGUUACUGUGUGUUAACGUGAGGAAGAGGUUCUAUUCAUGUUACUGUGUGUUAACAUGAGGAAGAGGUUCUAUUCAUGUUACUGUGUUAAUGUGAGGAAGAGGUUCUAUUCAUGUUACUGUGUGUUAACGUGAGGAAGAGGUUCUAUUCAUGUUACUGUGUGUUAACGUGAGGAAGAGGUUCUAUUCAUGUUACUGUGUGUUAACGUGAGGAAGAGGUUCUAUUCAUGUUACUGUGUGUUAACAUGAGGAAGAGGUUCUAUUCAUGUUACUGUGUGUUAACGUGAGGAAGAGGUUCUAUUCAUGUUACUGUGUGUUAAUGUGAGGAAGAGGUUCUAUUCAUUAUUUAACAGCCCUGCAGGUCCAGAGAAUCCAGCAGAUUCCCUAAUGGAUGUAAACAGAUUAACACACACAGCUGGAUACCAAGCACACACACUGUCUAGAUGAGCACACUGUAGCAGGGAUUAUGGGUAAUCCUCCAAUCUUACUUCCUCUGGUGAAUCACAC